rnacentral:rRNA from 1 species
GGCCAGAACACAGGUGCUGCAUGGCUGUCGUCAGUUCGUGUCGUGAGAUGUUGGGUUAAGUCCCGCAACGAGCGCAACCCUUGUCACUAGUUGCCAUCAUUUAGUUGGGCACUCUAGUGAGACUGCCGGUGACAAACCGGAGGAAGGUGGGGAUGACGUCAAGUCCUCAUGGCCCUUAUGGGUAGGGCUUCACACGUCAUACAAUGGUCGGUACAGAGGGUUGCCAAGCCGCGAGGUGGAGCCAAUCCCUUAAAGCCGAUCGUAGUCCGGAUCGGAGUCUGCAACUCGACUCCAUGAAGUCGGAAUCGCUAGUAAUCGCAAAUCAGAAUGUUGCGGUGAAUACGUUCCCGGGCCUU